GCUUCAGUUGACAGCUCGGCUGAUAGAGGAUGAGGCUCUUAAUCUCAGGGUCGUGUGUUUGAGCCCCACAUUGGGCA